GGCAGUGUGCGGCCGCGUAGCUCGCAACCCUGGGCUGCAAGUGGGGAUGGCGGCGUUUGCGGCGACUGCGGGGAGGCUGUUGGGGCUGCGUGCGGCUGGGACAGAGGGACGGUUGCUUCGGCUGCGAGGCGCGGGGCUGCAGCGGGCCUUGUUGCAGCCCGCCUCGGCCACUGGAGAUGCGGCACAGAGGCGGCAGGUGGCUCACUUCACUUUCCAGCCCGACCCGGAGCCUCAGGAGUAUGGGCAAACUCAGAAAAUGAAUCUUUUCCAGGCGAUAACAAGUGCCUUGGAUAACUCAUUGGCUAAAGAUCCUACGGCAGUAAUAUUUGGUGAAGAUGUUGCCUUUGGUGGAGUCUUUAGAUGUACUGUUGGCUUGCGAGACAAAUAUGGAAAAGAUAGAGUUUUCAACACCCCAUUGUGUGAACAAGGAAUCGUUGGAUUUGGAAUUGGGAUUGCAGUCACUGGGGCUACUGCCAUUGCGGAAAUUCAGUUUGCAGAUUACAUUUUCCCUGCUUUUGAUCAGAUUGUUAAUGAAGCUGCCAAGUACCGCUAUCGCUCUGGAGAUCUUUUUAAUUGUGGAAGCCUCACCAUCCGGGCCCCUUGGGGCUGCGUCGGCCAUGGGGCUCUUUAUCAUUCUCAGAGUCCUGAAGCCUUUUUUGCUCACUGCCCAGGAAUCAAGGUGGUUGUACCCAGAAGCCCUUUCCAGGCCAAAGGACUUCUUUUGUCAUGCAUAGAGGAUAAAAAUCCUUGUAUAUUUUUUGAACCUAAAAUACUUUACAGGGCAGCAGUUGAACAGGUUCCUGUAGAACCAUACCACAUCCCCCUGUCCCAGGCUGAAGUCAUACAGGAAGGGAGUGAUGUUACUCUAGUUGCCUGGGGCACUCAGGUUCAUGUCAUGCGAGAGGUGGCUUCCAUGGCUCAAGAAAAGCUUGGAGUGUCUUGUGAAGUCAUUGAUCUGAAGACCAUACUACCUUGGGACAUGGAUACAGUUUGCAAGAUCCCUCAACUCUGUUCAUGACAUGUUAAGCUCAGCACCAAAAUGCAUCUUUUUGGAAAACCUAAUCAAGAAAAGCCUAUUAAAGGUAAAAAAAAAUCCUUAUUGAAAAUACACAUUAGCACACUAAGCAUAGUAAAAUGACUCUGGGACAGUUGAGGAAUUGGUUAAUGAAGUCUGAAUUUAACUGCAUUUUUAAAAACAUAGUCCUACUUUUUGCUUAAGCCUUGAAGCAUUGUUUGGAAGUUAUAAUUUUGAAAAAUUGCUUGGGGACAGAAAGCAGCAGAGUUUUUGAAUGUUGCUCCAGGGAGCUACAAAAUUGGAGACCUGAGUAGAUCUAAGAACCGUAGUUCAUUUAUUUAAUUCUGAACCUGAUAUUAAAGGGCUAAGCUGGAAACCUCUAAAAAGCAGAAUAAAAAUUCCUGAGUUUUGAGUUGCCUAGGAGACCAAGACCUACCCCGAGGAUUUGGGGUAUGAGUGGGGUGGGGAAGAACAUCAGUGAAGAGAGUUGAAGGCCCUGAAGUGAGUGGCAAAUGGACUCUUUUUACUUGGGGGCACCUGCCAAGUAAGUUUCAACUAGAAAUUGAGAAUCCAAGUGUAUAGACUCCAUAUUUGAUUGGGUUGCAAUGACAGAAUGGGAAACUUGGUGGGAUUGUGUGUGUAUGUGUUAAAUACACAGUUAGUCUUCCAUUAAAGAUAUUUGCCAAAUUUUAAACCUGUGUAUGGUGGGCGCUAAGCAGAAAAUAAAUACCUAAAAGGCCAAGCCAUCACUGGAGACUAAAGUGUCAAAGACCAAUCAUACUCUCAGUUGAAAGCUGUAGAGUCAGGUCUUAGGAUAUGAAUCAAACCAGAAGUAGAUCACAGCUUCCCCAGUCCGCAGCAGUCUCACCCCCUCUCAGUUCCUUUCCUGGAUUAAUGUAACUUACCUUAUGCUCUGUCUGCCCAGCAGAAUGAGGAAACAGUCCUCCCAUCAUCUGGAACCUCUAUGAAUCUGCAUUCAAUAAAAAAUUACUAAGUAUAUGAAGAGACAGGACCAUUUGAUUCAAAACCAAGAAAAAACACAAACAAUAGAAAGCAGAAACACAGGUGAUCCAGAUACUGGAGUUAGCAGACAAGGACUUAUUUAUGUUUAGGAACAUAGAGGAAGAAAAGGAACAAAAGAGUCUGUGAUCAAAACAGGGCGACUGCUAAUCAGUCACGAGGCUCCCUUGACAGGCGGCUUUGCAUCGGAGAUCAGCUCUACGGUUCAG